AAACGGGGUCUAAUACCGGAUAAUACUUUCUCGGGCAUCUGGGAAGGUUAAAAGCUCCGGCGGUGAAGGAUGAGCCCGCGGCCUAUCAGCUUGUUGGUGGGGUGAUGGCCUACCAAGGCGACGACGGGUAGCCGGCCUGAGAGGGCGACCGGCCACACUGGGACUGAGACACGGCCCAGACUCCUACGGGAGGCAGCAGUGGGGAAUAUUGCACAAUGGGCGAAAGCCUGAUGCAGCGACGCCGCGUGAGGGAUGACGGCCUUCGGGUUGUAAACCUCUUUCAGCAGGGAAGAAGCGCAAGUGACGGUACCUGCAGAAGAAGCACCGGCUAACUACGUGCCAGCAGCCGCGGUAAUACGUAGGGUGCGAGCGUUGUCCGGAAUUAUUGGGCGUAAAGAGCUCGUAGGCGGCUUGUCACGUCGGUUGUGAAAGCCCGGGGCUUAACCCCGGGUCUGCAGUCGAUACGGGCAGGCUAGAGUGUGGUAGGGGAGAUCGGAAUUCCUGGUGUAGCGGUGAAAUGCGCAGAUAUCAGGAGGAACACCGGUGGCGAAGGCGGAUCUCUGGGCCAUUACUGACGCUGAGGAGCGAAAGCGUGGGAAG
rnacentral:rRNA from 1 species